UACGGGGGGGGCAAGCGUUGUUCGGAAUUACUGGGCGUAAAGGGCUCGUAGGCGGCCAACUAAGUCGGACGUGAAAUCCCUCAGCUUAACUGGGGAACUGCGUCCGAUACUGGAUGGCUUGGAUUUGGGAGAGGGAUGCGGAAUUCCAGGUGUAGCGGUGAAAUGCGUAGAUAUCGGGAGGAACACCGGUGGCGAAGGCGGCAUCCUGGACCAAUAUUGACGCUGAGGAGCGAAAGCUAGGGGAGCAAACGGG
rnacentral:rRNA from 1 species